CCGACGACGACUUUAACGAGAUAGUAAAUAGUUUUAGUCCCGUGUCCGUAAACAGUCCUCAUUUCGUUCUGGAAGCUUCCAUUAUUUGCGAACGUGCUUGAAGAUGCGAUUCACUGAAGAGGCACAUAGGGAUGGCCGCGUCACAAUAUGCAUUUGCUGCUGUUGUGCGGAAGUGGCUACAUUAUGUCCCAGACCGCGUUGUUUUGUAAGGAUUUCAACGUUGGAACAACAUUAAUUGAGGGUGUAAAAGUGAUGACAGAUCAACGUCGGGUGUCAACAACGUUGAUUCAACGAUAUAAGAUUGACAGCGGAAUGUUGAGUCAACAUCAUUUCAACGUCUGUCUGCUAUCUGGGUACCAACAGGAAGGAUUAUCUCAGGAGUGAUUUGU